UUGUCUGCAGAGAAAAAAGAACGACUCCGUUUUUUGCCAGACUGGAGGACGUUGGAGGGAGUCUGUUAAUCUCUCUGGACCUGACAUUUGAAAACCUCCACCUCUCCUCACCCUCCCAGCCCACUGAUGUGAGGAAAUCCAGCUCUGAACAGACUGAACUUCUAAAUCCCUCCUGGAAGCUUCACCCUGAACAGACAACUGCAACGCCGUGGUAACGGGCAGAUUACAGGAGACCCCACACACCCGUCCCACAACCUGUUCAGCCUGCUGCCAUCAGGGAGGAGACUGAAGAGUCUGAGGACCAGGACCAGCCGACUGAGCAACAGCUUCAUCCACCAGGCUGUCAGGAAGCUGAACUCUCUCCCCUCUCUGCCCUCUCUACCACCCCCUUCCCCCACAUACACAAACUCUGGUCAAUAACCUCUGACCUGCACUGUAAUAGCACAUUCAACCAUCAAGCAUAUUUGCACUUCUUGGACUGUUACUUAUUUGCACUGUUCUGAGUAUUCUGCACUAAAAUCCGUCACUUUAUCUCAUAGUCAUGUUUACAUUUCAGUCAGUUCUGCUUUUCUUAGUUCUUAGUUGUUGCUCGGCUCUAGUUUUGCUUCCUUUGUUCUUUUUUGCCCUUUAAUAUCUUAUUUUCUAAGUCUUUAUUUAAUGUCUACUGUUGCACGAAGAGAGAGGAGCGAAAUUUCGAUUCUUGGUAUGUCAUGUACAUAUUGAAGAAUUGACAAUAAAGCUGACUUUGACUUUGACUUUGAAAUCACUGAAAACUGUUCAAAAUGAAUCCAAAUGACUUGAUUUGCUCAAAAAAGUGGAAUCUUUGUGCAAAAUGAUCCAAAAACUUUUUCUAAUUGACUAAAUUGUAUAAAAUUACCCAAACAUUUGCCCAGAAAGAUUCAAAAUGUAUGCGAUAAGUUGAUGUGAUCUUCUUGUUAAGCACAUUUAACUUCUAGAAUUAGGGUUAGGGUUUUAGGAAUCUAACGUUCCUAAAACUGAUUUAAUGGUUAAAGAUAGAUGCAUACAAAUAUAUUUUCUAAUAUACGCGAGUUUGCACACUGUAUGCAAGUAUUUUUGCUCUAUAUUAAUUCUACAUUACAGGUUGUUUACAUUUUUAAAAACAUUUUUACAUACGUUGUUUUACAUACAAUGUCUUUGACAUGUUUUAGUUCUUCAGUGAACAGUUUUUAUGUCUGAUCUUGUUGUUGAAUCAGUUUUAGACAUGUUUAACUUCUAGAAUUGAAAAGAAAAGAGUCUAAAGAACCUUUCCUUAAACUGAUUUAAUGGUUAAAGAUAGAUGCAUAUAAUAUUUUUUUUGUCAAAUUUAUGCCAGUUUGCUCACUCUGUAUUAGUUCUAGAUUACAGGUUUUCUAAAUUUCUGCACACAGAAUCUUCUCUCUAAUGUCUUUAACACAUUUUAGUUCUUCUGUGAACAGUUUUUAUGCCUGAUCUUCUUGUUAGAUCAGUUUUAGACACAUUUAACUUCUAGAAUUUAAAAAAAGAGCCUAACCCUAACAAACUGUCCUGAAACUUGUAAAAUGAAUAAACAGAGUGAUGGACUACA